rnacentral:rRNA from 1 species
GACGAACGCUGGCGGCGUGCCUAAUACAUGCCAGUAGAACGCUGAAGGAAGGAGCUUGCUCUUUCUGGAUGAGUUGCGAACGGGUGAGUAACGCGUAGGUAACCUGCCUGGUAGCGGGGGAUAACUAUUGGAAACGAUAGCUAAUACCGCAUAAAAUUGAUUAUUGCAUGAUAGUCAAUUAAAAGGUGCAACUGCACCACUACCAGAUGGACCUGCGUUGUAUUAGCUAGUUGGUGGGGUAACGGCUCACCAAGGCGACGAUACAUAGCCGACCUGAGAGGGUGAUCGGCCACACUGGGACUGAGACACGGCCCAGACUCCUACGGGAGGCAGCAGUAGGGAAUCGUCGGCAAUGGACGGAAGUCUGACCGAGCAACGCCGCGUGAGGGAAGAAGGUUUUCGGAUCGUAAAGCUCUGUUGUAAGAGAAGAACGAGUGUGAGAGUGGAAAGUUCACACUGUGACGGUAUCUUACCAGAAAGGGACGGCUAACUACGUG